rnacentral:rRNA from 1 species
AUUGAACGCUGGCGGCAGGCCUAACACAUGCAAGUCGAGCGGUAGAGAGAAGCUUGCUUCUCUUGAGAGCGGCGGACGGGUGAGUAAUGCCUAGGAAUCUGCCUGAUAGUGGGGGAUAACGUCCGGAAACGGACGCUAAUACCGCAUACGUCCUACGGGAGAAAGUGGGGGCUGUUCGGACCUCACGCUAUCAGAUGAGCCUAGGUCGGAUUAGCUAGUUGGUGGGGUAAAGGCUCACCAAGGCGACGAUCCGUAACUGGUCUGAGAGGAUGAUCAGUCACACUGGAACUGAGACACGGUCCAGACUCCUACGGGAGGCAGCAGUGGGGAAUAUUGGACAAUGGGCGAAAGCCUGAUCCAGCCAUGCCGCGUGUGUGAAGAAGGUCUUCGGAUUGUAAAGCACUUUAAGUUGGGAGGAAGGGUCGUUACCUAAUACGUGACGAUUUUGACGUUACCGACAGAAUAAGCACCGGCUAACUCUGUGCCAGCCGCCGCCGUAAGAC